rfam:Ailuropoda melanoleuca scaffold3581_14, whole genome shotgun sequence.
CCAAAGGCUCUUUUCAGAGCCACCACUAAGUCACAAAGGGUGCUGU